AGCAUAUAUUCACUGAUAAACUGUAGCUUAAACUUUACAUUCACUGCAACAUUCACAGUAUUGCUGUUACUAACUUUACUCGACAGCAGCAUUGUAGUCUACGUCAUAUGCAGGUCUGAGCCAUAAACCCACUGAGACAGAAAACAUAUGAUAAUUACAAUUACCUGUGAAUACACCUGAACUGAUUGUGUUGGAUUUUUAGUGGAGCAUGUGAGUUGUCUUGGCCGAUGUAUGUUGUGUUUUAUUUAGUGACCUGAUGCUGUUUUCAUGUUGCCUUCUUGGCCAAAUAUUUCUUAUGAAAUGGAUUUUUUAUUCUGAGGGGACAUUUAUAUAGAUAAGAAACUGUAACGAAGAUUUGUUUAAUUUAAAGGCUUAAUUACAAUACAACCACCUGAGUUUGUGUUAAUCUCCAUGAGGAUGAUGUAAACAGUCAGCUGGCCCAGCAGUGAGGAGGAAACAGCCUGAUGUGUUGAGGACAGCUCCAGUUGACUGACUCUGUGUGUUUGCAUAUGUGUCCUGCCUCUCUGCUCCCAGCCGUUAAGAGGCCAGUGUUGAUCAGUGGCUGUCCAGGCCUUUCACAGCCACUGACACGCCGGCAGCACAAUGAUGAUGUCACUGAUUCUACUGCUGGCCACCCUGGGGCUCCUUGUUCAGGAUUCAUCAGGAGAAACCAUCCUGACUCAGUCUCCUGGAUCUCAGUCUGUUGCUCCAGGACAAACUGUCUCCAUCAUGUGUUCAGCCAGUUCUAAUGUAAAUAACUGGCUCCACUGGUACCUUCAGAAACCUGGAGAAGCUCCUAAACUCCUGAUUUAUCAAGUUACAACUCGUCAGUCUGGAGUUUCAGAUCGUUUUAGUGGAAGUGGAUCUGGGACUGACUACACUCUGACCAUCAGAGGAGUUCAGGCUGAAGAUUCAGGAGUUUAUUACUGCAAGCAGAUUGGCAGCUACCCGUUCACACAGUGAUACAACAUCGUACAAAAACCUCCCUCAGCUGGAGAGGAACUGAUCUGACUCAACAGCUGCACUGAAACUAAAACAACACAAGUUUUACUCAGAACAAAAAAAUGUAGUUCAGAAAAAUUCACUUACAACAUUUAUUAUCUAAAUAUACUGUAUAUAAAACACUAUGUAUAUUUUAUUUAUUCAGUGUUUUAACAUUCUGCUGCACAUCAAAGCUAAACUCUGUUGAAGAAUAAUUUCAAUAUUUUGAUAAAUUUAAUUCAUAGAGUAUGAUAACACAUGAACACUAAAACUGUAAAUAUUAUUUAUUUUAAAUCUUACAAUAUUUUAUUUGAUCCU